GUGCACCAGGCGCGAAAACUUUACAAUGUGCGAAAGCACGAUAAGGGAACUCUGAGUGCCUCCUAAGGAGGCUGUUCAGGUGUCUAAAAAGCACCUGAAGGAAGGGCUGGGUAAGACCGGUGCCAGCCGCCGCGGUAACACCGGCAGCCCAAGUGGUAGGCCACGUUUAUUGGGUCUAAAGCGUCCGUAGCCGGCUGGGUAAGUUCCUUGGGAAAUUUGGCUGCUUAACAGUCAAGGCUUUCAGGGAAUACUGCCCGGCUUGGGACCGGGAGAGGUCAGAGGUACUCCAGGGGUAGGGGUGAAAA
rnacentral:rRNA from 1 species